GAUGAACGCUAGCGGCAGGCCUAACACAUGCAAGUCGAGGGGUAGAACACUUCGGUGUUUGAGACCGGCGCACGGGUGCGUAACGCGUAUGCAAUCUGCCUUACACUAAGGGAUAGCCUAGAGAAAUUUGGAUUAAUACCUUAUAGUAUAUUGAUGUGGCAUCACAUUAUUAUUAAAGAUUUAUUGGUGUAAGAUGAGCAUGCGUCCCAUUAGCUAGUUGGUAUGGUAACGGCAUACCAAGGCGAUGAUGGGUAGGGGUCCUGAGAGGGAGAUCCCCCACACUGGUACUGAGAAACGGACCAGACUCCUACGGGAGGCAGCAGUGAGGAAUAUUGGUCAAUGGUCGCAAGACUGAACCAGCCAUGCCGCGUGCAGGAUGAAGCAUCUAUGGUGUGUAAACUGCUUUUGUACGGGAAGAAACACCUCUUCGUGAAGAGGCUUGACGGUACCGUAAGAAUAAGGAUCGGCUAACUCCGUGCCAGCCGCCGCGGUAA
rnacentral:rRNA from 1 species